rnacentral:lncRNA from 1 species
UACAAACAUAUCUUACAAAACAGUUGACAAAAUAACACAGCCAAAACGUUGAAACUUUACAUAAAAAAAUUAAAUGUAAUACAAAAUUAACAACUUUUACAUGGCUACAUCAAACAUGUCUAACAAAAAAAAACAAACACCGGUAUAUACAAGAAAAUACUAAAUGCGCAUAAAAAAUACAAAUAUAUAUAUGAAAUAAAUCAAAUUCCAGUAAGUGAUACUUUUCCAUGAAGGCAGAGGAUGUGACGUACCCAUCAUGUGGGGUGGGGGGGCGUGGCUGACGAGUAAGUUCCGCUUGCUGGCGAUAGCGAAGUUUCUAGGCAUAUUUAAAGCAGGGAAAUAACUUAUUGAAUAACCGAUUUAUAUAUAUUUUAUAUAUAAUAUAAUAUAAUAAUAUAUAUAUAUAUUAUAUAUAUAUAUAUAUAUAUCAGCGUGAUCGUUCUUACCGCAGUGAAUUUGAAACCUCAAAACAAAAAUGUUACAGCUAGCUUGCUAGCAAGGUUUUAAAAGAUGUCGUCCUGGGAUAUCAGAAAGGUCUACUUGUACAAGUUGCCACCAGUUGUGCUGUGCGACUUCUCCCUUGUUAUGGACAGUAUCUCCGAUGUGGACUGGGACAGAUUCGGGAAGCCCAGUGUACUACGGCCCUCUUCCACUCCACUUGCUGCUCCGUCGCAGGUUAAACUGGAGCCUCUUGUUCCUCCAUCUCAUCUCUUCAACCCACCUCCUAAAGUCCAUCCUACCAACACUCUGACCACUAAGGCUUACUCUCCACCUGAACUGAGGUCUCUGCCCAAACCUGGCCCUCCACCCUCAGGGCUGAAAUCACAGGACCACAGAGGGGCGUUUGUAGACCAACAGGUGACGGAAGCCAUUAAGUAGCAAUCAAUCAAAUGUACACCGACUAUACCAAACAUUAGGAACACCUUCCUAAUAUUGAGUUGCACCUCCUUUUGCCUCCACAACAUCCUUAAUCCGUCGGGACAUGGACUCUACAAGUUGCCGAAAGCCUUCCACAGGGAUGCUGGCCCCAUGUUGACUCUAAUGCUUCCCACAGUCGUGUCACGUUGGCUGGAUGUCCUUUUUGGGUGGUGGACCAUUCUUGAUACACACAGGGGAAACUGUUGAGUGUGAAAAACCCAGCAGCGUUGCAGUUCUUGACACAAACCGUUGCGCCUGACACCUACUACCCAUGUUCAAAGGCAGUUUUGUCUUGCCCCAUUCACACUCUGAAUAGCACACAUACACAAGCCAUGUCUCAUGGCUUAAAAAUCCGUCUUUAACCCGUCUCCCCCCCUUCAUCUACACUGAUUUUGAAGUGACAUCAAUAAGGGAUCAUAGCUUGGAUUCACCUGGUCAGUCUGUCAUGGAAAGAGCAGGUGUUCUUAAUGUUUUGUAUAAUCAGUGUAUUUUAAUAAAACCCCUUUUUUUCAGUGUUGACGGAUCAGAUUGAAUUUUUUGCCAAUAAUUGGGCUGCUUGUGUAAACGCAGCCUUUGAAAGAGGAGCCGGUAUGAGAGAGGAACUACAGUCACUAUUGUUAGACUCGUUUUUUUUAGAUUCAGAUGUAAAAAGCAGAAUGAAAUAGUUGACUCCCGGAAAUGGUUCGAGAGCGAAACAAUAAAACAGAACUGACACACAGAUAUAUAUUUAGAACAGUUGUAUUUCUCUGGUAGCCCGGCGGUCUCCGAUGACUACUCGUUCCAGUAGUAGUAGUAGUUCACGGUUACUGACACCGGUAGUAGUUCACGGUUACUGACACCGGUAGUAGUAGUAGUAGUAGUUCACGGUUACUGACACCGGUAGUAGUAGUAGUAGUAGUAGUAGUAGUUCACGGUUACUAACACCGGUAGUAGUAGUAGUCGUUCAAGGUUACUAACACCGGUAGUUAGUUCACGGGUUACUAACACCGUAGUAGUCGUAGUAGUAAGUUUCACGGUUACUAACACCGGUAGUCGUAGUAGUAGUAGUGUUCCCGGUUACUAACAACGGGGUAUAGUAGUAGUAGUUCCGGUUACUCACACCUGGUAGUAGUAGUCGUUGUUCACGGUACUAACACCGGUAGUAGUAGUAGUAGUUCACGGUUACUACACCGGUAGUAAGUGUAGUAGUAGUAGUAGAGUCCGGUUACUAACACCGGUAGAAAGUAGUAGUUGUUCACGGUUAUCUAAACACCGGUAGCUAGUGUAGUAGUAGUUUCACGUUACUAACACCGGUAGUAGUAGUAGUAGUAGUAGUAGUUCACCCCCGGUUACUAACACGUAGUAGUAGUUACGCGUUACUAACACCUGUCGUAGUAGUUCACGGUGUUUACUAACCACCGGUAGUCGUAGUUCACGGUACUAAACACCGUAGUCGUAGUUCACGGUUACUAACACCGGUAGUCGUAGUUCCC